GAUGAACGCUGGCGGCGUGCUUAACACAUGCAAGUCGAACGGAAAGCCCCUUCGGGGGAAUUCGAGUGGCGAACGGGUGAGUAACACGUGGGGAAUCUGCCCUUCUCUCUGGGAUAACUCGGGGAAACUCGAGCUAAUACCGGAUAUUCCGAUCAGGUCGCAUGGCCAGAUCGGGAAAGCUCCGGCGGAGAAGGAUGACCCCGCGGCCCAUUAGCUUGUUGGUGAGGUAACGGCUCACCAAGGCAACGAUGGGUAGCCGAGCUGAGAGGCUGAUCGGCCACACUGGGACUGAGACACGGCCCAGACUCCUACGGGUGGCUG
rnacentral:rRNA from 1 species